CUCUGGAGGGAGCUCUUCAGGGCAAAGGAA
rnacentral:ncRNA from 1 species